rnacentral:rRNA from 1 species
GCUCAACCGGGGAGGGUCAUUGGAAACUGGGGAACUUGAGUGCAGAAGAGGAGAGUGGAAUUCCACGUGUAGCGGUGAAAUGCGUAGAGAUGUGGAGGAACACCAGUGGCGAAGGCGACUCUCUGGUCUGUAACUGACGCUGAGGAGCGAAAGCGUGGGGAGCGAACAGGAUUAGAUACCCUGGUAGUCCACGCCGUAAACGAUGAGUGCUAAGUGUUAGGGGGUUUCCGCCCCUUAGUGCUGCAGCUAACGCAUUAAGCACUCCGCCCGGGGAGUACGGUCGCAAGACUGAAACUCAAAGGAAUUGACGGGGGCCCGCACAAGCGGUGGAGCAUGUGGUUUAAUUCGAAGCAACGCGAAGAACCUUACCAGGUCUUGACAUCCUCUGACAAUCCUAGAGAUAGGACGUCCCCUUCGGGGGCAGAGUGACAGGUGGUGCAUGGUUGUCGUCAGCUCGUGUCAUGAGAUGUUGGGCUAAGUCCCGCAACGAGCGCAACCCUUGACCUUAGUUGCCAGCAUUCAGUUGGGCACUCUAAGGUGACUGCCGGUGACAAACCGGAGGAAGGUGGGGAUGACGUCAAAUCAUCAUGCCCCUUAUGACCUGGGCUACACACGUGCUACAAUGGACAGAACAAAG